rnacentral:rRNA from 1 species
GACAGAGGGUGCAAACGUUGCUCGGAAUCACUGGGCUUAAAGGGCGCGUAGGCGGUCCGACAAGUCAGGGGUGAAAUCCUGCAGCUUAACUGCAGAAGUGCCUUUGAUACUGUCGGUCUUGAGGGAGAUAGGGGUGUGCGGAACUUCCAGUGGAGCGGUGAAAUGCGUUGAUAUUGGAAGGAACGCCGGAGGCGAAAGCGGCGCACUGGAUCUCUUCUGACGCUGAGGCGCGAAAGCUAGGGGAGCAAACGGG